rnacentral:lncRNA from 1 species
GAGUAUAUUCAUUUCUCUUUAAAAUAUACACAAACACAAAUAUAUAUAUUUGUUAGCAUAUGAGUCGAGGGUUGAAGCUCCAUAUACAUUUCAGUAAUUCUCUCAUUACUUUCACAAGAUAUAAGUAAGUGUAUUGGCAUUUUUAUGGGACUAUAUGCAUAUGUUGUGUUUGUGGAACCUUGAUUAUGAUUCUUUUAUGUAUGUUACUAAGAUUUGGACCAAAGUACAUUAGCUACGCAUGAAAAUUUUUUACCAUCUAUGUUCAAUAUAGAUUUUCGUGCCUCCCUAUGUAUGUAUGUAUAUAUGAAGUUCCUUAAAUUUUAUCCAAUAUUAAUCCAUGUACUUAUAUACUUAUUGAGAUUUUAUCUUACACCCCACUUUAUCUCCUUUCAGGACAUUAAAGUUCGUGACAAUCUGGGUAUGAGAGGGCUAGUAAAGUAACAAGUGAAAUGAGACCCAGCAUUCUCAUUUUUAUUUAAUUGAGAACUUAUUACUUUUAUUAAAUUUCUAGAAGAUUUUUAUUUGAUGUCAAAUUUUUUAUAGUAUUAAAUAAAGUUUUAUGUUCAAGACAAAGGUUUAAUGACACUCAAAUCCUAGAUCCCCGGUCGUCACAGUUGUUAUCAUAACACAAGUUUUAAUUAGUUCUAUGGACAUUUUAAAUUUAUUUUUAAAUUAGUAUGGGUAAAGUAGAUUACAUUACUAUUUAAUGGCCCAUAUUAGAUAUUCAAGAAGUUUUUUCUAAAAAUAAAUUUUAAUAAGUGUUGUCGAUUUUAUAUUCUACAAGUAUA